GAUGCAACGCGAAAAACCUUACCCACCUUUGACAUGUACGGAACCCUUUAGAGAUAGAGGGGUGCUCGAAAGAGAGCCGUAACACAGGUGCUGCAUGGCUGUCGUCAGCUCGUGUCGUGAGAUGUUGGGUUAAGUCCCGCAACGAGCGCAACCCUUGUCAUUAGUUGCUACAUUCAGUCGGGCACUCUAAUGAGACUGCCGGUGACAAGCCGGAGGAAGGUGGGGAUGACGUCAAGUCCUCAUGGCCCUUAUAGGUGGGGCUACACACGUCAUACAAUGGCUGGUACAAAGGGUUGCCAACCCGCGAGGGGGAGCUAAUCCCACAAAGCCAGUCGUAGUCCGGAUCGUAGUCUGCAACUCGACUACGUGAAGUCGGAAUCGCUAGUAAUCGUGGAUCAGAAUGUCACGGUGAAUACGUUCCCGGGUCUUGUACACACCGCCCGUCACACCAUGGGAGCGGGUUCUGCCAGAAGUAGUUAGCUUAACCGCAAGGAGGGCGAUUACCACGGCAGGGUUCGUGACUGGGGUGAAGUCGUAACAAGGUA
rnacentral:rRNA from 1 species